rnacentral:rRNA from 1 species
AACGCUAGCUACAGGCUUAACACAUGCAAGUCGCGGGGUAACAUUGAUCUAGCUUGCUAGAUCAGAUGACGACCGGCGCACGGGUGAGUAACGCGUAUCCAACCUGCCUUUUACCACGGGAUAGCCCCUCGAAAGAGGGAGUAAUACCGUAUGCAGUCGUCAGAUGACAUCAGAGGACGACGAAAGGAUUGGCGGUAAUGGAUGGGGAUGCGUCUGAUUAGGUAGUUGGAGGGGUAACGGCCCACCAAACCGACGAUCAGUAGGGGUUCUGAGAGGAAGGUCCCCCACAUUGGAACUGAGACACGGACCAGACUCCUACGGGAGGCAGCAGUGAGGAAUAUUGGUCAAUGGGCGAGAGCCUGAACCAGCCAAGUCGCGUGAAGGAAGAAGGAUCUAUGGUUCGUAAACUUCUUUUGCAGGGGAAUAAAGUGCAGGACGUGUCCUGUUUUGUAUGUACCCUGAGAAUAAGGAUCGGCUAACUCCGUGCCAGCAGCCGCGGUAAUACGGAGGAUCCGAGCGUUAUCCGGAUUUAUUGGGUUUAAAGGGUGCGUAGGUGGUUUAAUAAGUCAGCGGUGAAAGUUUGCAGCUUAACUGUAAAAAUGCCGUUGAAACUGUUAGACUUGAGUGUAAAUGAGGUAGGCGGAAUGCGUGGUGUAGCGGUGAAAUGCUUAGAUAUCACGAAGAACUCCAAUUGCGAAGGCAGCAUACCGGAGUGCAACUGACGCUGAAGCUCGAAAGUGCGGGUAUCGAACAGGAUUAGAUACCCUGGUAGUCCGCGCGGUAAACGAUGGAUGCUCGCUGUGGGCGACAAACAGUCCGCGGCCAAGCGAAAGCGUUAAGCAUCCCACCUGGGGAGUACGCCGGCAACGGUGAAACUCAAAGGAAUUGACGGGGGCCCGCACAAGCGGAGGAACAUGUGGUUUAAUUCGAUGAUACGCGAGGAACCUUACCCGGGCUUGAAUUGCUAAUGAAUGGAGUAGAGAUAUUUCAGCCGCAAGGCAUUAGUGAAGGUGCUGCAUGGUUGUCGUCAGCUCGUGCCGUGAGGUGUCGGCUUAAGUGC